rnacentral:lncRNA from 1 species
CUCUUCCUAAAGGGUCUCUCACAGUGAGCAUUGAAGGAUUGGUAUACUCAGGGGCUAAUACAUUUAGGAGGUGAGCAUAAGCUUCUCCAUCCUACAUAAGCAAUUUGAUAACUUAAGAAUUAUCAUUAUAUCUCUAAAAUGGCAAACCAUAUAACAUAAGAGAUGAAACUGAGAGCUCUUUUCCGUUAUUACUGAGCAAAAGGAAUGCAUGCUCCAGAACCAAUUUUGCUCUUCCUAAAGGGUCUAUCACAGUGAGCGUUGAAGGAUUGGUAUACUCAGGGGCUAGUACAUUUAGGAGGUGAGCAUAAGCUUCUCCAUCCUACAUAAGCAAUUUGAUAACUUACGAAUUAGCAUUAUACCUCUAAAAUGGCAAACCACAUACAAGAGAAGAAACUGAGAGCUCUUUUCUGUUAUUAAUGAGUAAAAGGAAAAGAA